CCUCGAUGUGAUGAUUUCUCUUCUCGGAAAUUUUUUCAUGUCGAUCUUACAAUGAAUCAGACUACAACUAUCUGAUCGACG